rnacentral:rRNA from 1 species
AUGCUAUGGGCAAGUGAUUCAUGGUGCUCUUGGUUCUUCUGUAUACUUGAAAUAAGGAACAAUUUUCCAAAGACCUCGCCGGCAGAUCCCUCAGCUAUCAGGGAAGGCAGCCAUCAGCGGAGAUUGAGGGUUUCUCUCCGGCGAGCGUGCUCGUGUCGUGGUGGUUUCCCACAUCUUAGCAGCGUGGGGGAGGCGGUGUCCUCUGCAGCUAGGUCUACUUGCUGGCGACCUCACCAUCACCAGCCCAUCUGCAGAUGGUCUGAAAACCAAGAUAUUCCAGAGAUAAUAACUAUACGGGCUGCUCCAGAUGGACUGAGAAAGGAAACAUAUCCUAGGCCUACAUGCUAA